AUGAAGAAGAGGAAAAAGGGGAAGGUGGGGAACUGUGCAGUGAAGUUGGAUAUGCACAAAGCACACGAUAGAGUUGAAUGGGUGUUUUUACAAGCAAUUCUAGGUAAGCUUGGUUUUGAUGACAGAUGGAUUCAGUUGGUCAUGGCAUGUGUCACAUCCGUUGAGUACAAGGUGAGGUUCAACUCGAAUGAAACCUUACAGUUCACACCAACAAGGGGGCUUCGGCGAGGGGAUCCAUUGUCACCAUAUUUAUUCCUGCUUUCUGCGGAGGGUUUAUCAGCACUCACUGCUCAUGAGGAGGCAGCGGUUAACUUGGUUGGUGUCCAGGUGUGUUGA
rnacentral:rRNA from 1 species